CGUCCCCACCUUCUUCUCUUCCUCGAAAACUUGUUGUACUUCUCCAUCGCUUCUUCCCCCGGGAAGAAAGGAACCGCCAUGGCGGAGGAGUGCUGCAGCGCGGACCUGCUGGAGUGGAUCGGCCCUGACGUCUCAGCAUGCGUCUUCGGCCGCCUUGACCACCCCGCCGACCUCGUCCGCGCCGCCGCUGUCUCCAGAACCUGGCGCAGAUGCGUGGUCGAGAGCGGCUUGAGCAAGAGCCUUUGCCUGCGGCUGUGCCCCGAGGUCGCCACCGUCGCCGCGGCGGCAGAGGUGGCCAGAUCGCCGCCUUCAACCGCCGCCCAUGAAUCAGGCCACGAGAGGGACUACAGGAUAUACUCCAACCUCGCCGGCGCCUACGUCUCCGACUCCGCCGCCAAGCCCUCCGCGGAAUGCAUCUUGGACUGCAUCGGGGCCUCCAGCACCGACGACUUCCCAGCAGAGACCAUGGAAAACACCCUCGACGAGGAGGAGAUUAUCAAUUUCCGCCCGUCCUAUUGGUCGAGCGGCGGGGCGGACGACCCGGAGGCGCCGGAGAGCCUUACCUACAGGCUCAACUCUGACAUCUGCAUUGUCGAUGAGAUUCGGGUGCGGCCGUACCAAGCCUUUUUUCAGGAUGGUGACCCUAUAUACUCUUCAAAGGUGGUGCGAUUUCGGAUGGGCCAUUACAAGCUUCCGCGAGGAUCAGAGACGUUUGUAAUGGAUGAUUAUGAGAAUAAGAUGGUAAAUGCUGAUGAAAAAUACAUGUGGACUUACACUUCGCCAGAGUUCCCUAUGUUACAGAAAAACGAACUACAAUCCUUCAAGCUCCCACGCCCCGUCCUUUGCAUUGGUGGUGUGGUGAUGAUUGAACUCUUGGGCAGAGUACAGAAACAAGAAGCAGAUGAUAGGUACUACAUAUGCGUUUGCCAUGCUGAAGUGAUGGGGCGUUCACUCUCACCACUUUUCAUGGUUGAAAUCUCGGAUCCUGAAGGUUAUUCAAUCCUCAAGUACUUACCGGGUGCCAAAGACCUAUCCAUCGAUGACUUUUUGCAAGAUGAUACCAAAGACUCGCCGGAGUGGCACUAUCUUGUUGGUAGAUACAGGCAGAUGAAUCACAGAGCAGUAGUAGUGAGUGCACUUUUGGAGCCUGUACAUUACAUGCAUGAUGUAGGUGGCAUCUCAGACGAUGAUCAUGAAGAUGAUGUAGGUGGCAUCUCAGACGAUGAUCAUGAGGAUGAUGUAGGUGGCAUCUCAGACGAUGAUUAUCUUGAGUAGAUUUGCGUGCUGGACUGCAGCUACAACUCUGCCGUGGUUUUACUCUUUGUAGUUUAGUGAACACCUCUGAACUCUGCAAGCCUUUGUUGCAAACAUUUCUGAAGCCUCUGUUCUCGAACCUAGAGGACCUGAUCGAGACAAGUUGCUCUUACGGUCUGCAACUCUGCUCAAGCUUGCUCGUGUUUUCUCUUGUGUUUUUGUUUAGUGCAUUGAGCGUUUACCCUUUGAGCUUGCCUGGGACUCAGGCUUAUGGAACCUUUGGGGAUUACCGGGUGGAACCUUGAUGUGUUGAUGUGGCCGCAAGACCAUGGCAUCUGAGAAGCAUGGGUCAUUAUGCCAUCAAUCACCAUGUUGGUAUCCUGAGGAAAAUAACUCGCAUGGCCACUAUCUAUCACACAAGGAUAUCCUUUUAUCCGAGUAUGAACCAGGGAAGUGCUCCAUCACAUUUAUGCUUCAUCAUGGACGGCCCAAACUGAAGCUUUCUUCAUACAUGAGACGGAUAUUUCCUUCUAUAACUUCUCCAUAUCAUCUUUCCCCAAAAAAUAAGGUUAGUUUCUUAGUGAAGAGUCACUGUCUCAUAUGCAUACUACAGAUAAAUGUGGCGCCAGUUUGCCUUGAAAGUAUCACCUUCAUCUUUUCUGAAUUAGUCCUGGCUCUGGCCGCCGAACAUUUGCAUUAUCAUGCUGUGAGGCGUAAACCUGGAAAUGCUGGUGUUUGUUGUUCUUCAGGCAUAGUUUAACCAGAGAUAUCAUUAGCAUUUCAGUGCCCAGUUCAGUCAUGGUAGAAUCUGCAAAGCCUUUAAUUAUAUUACAGUUACCGGAU